rnacentral:rRNA from 1 species
UACGUAGGGGGCAAGCGUUGUCCGGAUUUAUUGGGCGUAAAGGGCGCGUAGGCGGAUGGCACAGUCAGAUGUGAAAUUCCCGGGCUUAACCUGGGGGCUGCAUUUGAUACGUGUUGUCUAGAGUGAGGAAGAGGGUUGUGGAAUUCCCAGUGUAGAGGUGAAAUUCGUAGAUAUUGGGAAGAACACCGGUGGCGAAGGCGGCAACCUGGUCCUUGACUGACGCUGAGGCGCGAAAGCUCGGGGAGCGAACGGG